rnacentral:piRNA from 1 species
UGCCCUUGUUCGGCCUCCAUAUUUGGCGC